UAAAAUAAAUUUUCAUAGCGAGCGGUUCCUGACAUGACAUAUGCAUCGGGGUUGGCUCGAUGCCGGGGAUCAAGGUGUUCGGUUUCCGGAGGAACUCACGGUAUAUAUAUAUAUGUCUUUCUCAGUUUCUUCUUUCUCUCCUACGAAAUCCUUAUCAUCUUAUAUUUAGUGGAUUUAAAGAUAUCCUUUCCCAUGGAUGAAUGAUAACAGUGCUUGUUUUCUUCCUCAGAGUGCAGCCUGACCUGUUACUAAUGACAAAGUUGAGUCUGUCUUAUGAGCAAUUAAUAAUUUCUCUUUGUAGAUAGCAACUAAUAUGAAUCAUUGAUGAUAUACAAAUAUUGACUGAUGUACUUAUUAUAGAUGAAGUUCUGACUGUAUUUUUCUGUGGAUGAUAUCUUUCUCUGAUUAUUCUUGUUCAUGGAGGAAGGCUGACUGAUGUUUUUCAGUUGGAAUCCCAAACAGAUUCCUGCCCACUCAACACAUACAUCAGUCCUUUCCCCUAGGGAAAGGCAAUGUUUUUCUGAUCAUCAUCUUCUCAGUUACAUUUCUUUCUAUGCCCUCAUUGCAACAUCAUAUAAUUCUUUAUUUGACUGUAAUUCUCAUUUAUUAAUUUUCUUCCCUCAUAGAGGACAAGGAAAUUCAUGCUGGCUGGUAUGAUAAACAUAUUUAAUGAUUACAAAUUUAUGGACUCAAUACUCCAUUAUUUAAUCCUUGAGUGAUAAACACUCAAAAUCAAAUUUUUAAUUUUUCACUAUUUAUGCAACGUUGUGGAUGGCUUCAAAAAAUCAAAUAACACAAUUUUAAUAGAUUCUUUCUAAUGUUA
rnacentral:lncRNA from 1 species